AAGAAAGAGGAAGCUUUCCCUUUGAGGGGAAUGUUGUCUGGGUCGAGGCAUCCGCAGAACUUGAGAUAGAUAGAUCGUCUAUCUUCUCUUCUCUUCUUUUAUGUUUGGAGAUCUCGGACCAGGCUUCAUUCCCCUCAACCAUAGCUUCCGUCU
rnacentral:miRNA from 15 species